GAUGAACGCUGGCGGCGUGCCUAAUACAUGCAAGUCGAACGCGCCGAGAAGGGAACUUGUUCCUUUCAACGCGAGUGGCGAACGGGUGAGUAACACGUGGGAAACCUACCCUUCAGCGGGGGAUAACCAUCGGAAACGAUGACUAAUACCGCAUAGUUGUUCCAGUCGCAUGACUGGAAUGGGAAAGACGGCUUCGGCUGUCACUGAAGGAUGGUCCCGCGGUGCAUUAGCUAGACGGUGGGGUAACGGCCUACCGUGGCUUUGAUGCAUAGCCGACCUGAGAGGGUGAUCGGCCACAUUGGGACUGAGACACGGCCCAAACUCCUACGGGAGGCAGCAGUAGGGAAUCUUCCGCAAUGGACGCAAGUCUGACGGAGCAACGCCGCGUGUGUGAAGAAGGUCUUCGGAUCGUAAAGCACUGUUAUCAGAGAAGAAUAGCCUGUAGAGUAACUGUUAUAGGUUUGACGGUAACUGAUCAGAAAGCCACGGCUAACUACGUGCCAGCCGCCGCCGUAACAC
rnacentral:rRNA from 1 species